UGCCUUUACGUGUUGCCCGUUCAUCGCUCUUCCCCUGGAUGAAUGCGGUGUCAGAUAAGGCAUACAGUAAAUGUCUGGGCUGGCCUUCACGAGGUGUCUCUGGUGUCAUCUGGUACCAAGCUCCGCCCUAGCACAUUG
ensembl:snoRNA